CUGCUGACUCUAACGAGUACGCACUCGCUGCCUAACUAACAGCGACGCCGGCCUUGGGCUCUGCCUGCGGCCUGGGGAUCCGGCGUCAUGAAGCAGGCUCACCGCUCGGGGCGCGCUCGGCGCGCCGAGCGGGACAUUUCUCCGAGCUAGGCACCGGCCGUUGCUGUUCGCGGGCCGGCAGGUGCCGAAACCUCAACCGCGAGCUACGCUCGUAGAAGGCCUGCCCAGAGGUCGGAGGACCCGGGUUCGAUUCCCGGCAGCUCCACUA
rnacentral:tmRNA from 1 species